ensembl:misc_RNA 7SK 7SK RNA
GGUUGGCUGAAUUCAUUUUACAUAAUGACCUCUGUUACUCCGCUGAUUGCCAAGGUUGAUUCAGCUGGUGUAACUGGCUAGGCAGGUGCUGCCUUCCUCCCCUACUGCUCCAUGUGUGUCUUUCCCAAGCUGCCUGCUCAGUGGAGGGGGAGGACUUUCUUCAAUGGAGGAAGACUAUUCUUUGGUCAAGGAUAUUAGAGUAGUUGUGCUGCCCUGCUAGAACCUCCAAACAAGCCACAUUUUUUGUUUUUGUCUUCCACCCCAUAAUCUCUCUCCACAUGGACAGAGGCACUUGAAGUUUCAAUAUUUUUGCUCUAAAAUUUUAACACAUGUUUAAGAACAAAAACAUUU